GGCAGCAGUGGGGAAUAUUGCCAAUGGGCGCAAGCCUGAUGCAGCGACGCCGCGUGGGGGAUGACGGCCUUCGGGUUGUAAACUCCUUUCGCCAGGGACGAAGCGUUAUGUGACGGUACCUGGAUAAGAAGCACCGGCUAACUACGUGCCAGCAGCCGCGGUAAUACGUAGGGUGCGAGCGUUGUCCGGAAUUACUGGGCGUAAAGAGCUCGUAGGUGGUUUGUCGCGUCGUUUGUGUAAUACCGCAGCUUAACUGUGGGGUUGCAGGCGAUACGGGCAAACUUGAGUGCUGUAGGAGAGAUCGGAAUUCCUGGUGUAGCGGUGGAAUGCGCAGAUAUCAGGAGGAACACCGAUGGCGAAGGCAGGUCUCUGGGCAGUAACUGACGCUGAGGAGCGAAAGCAUGGGUAGCGAACAGGAUUAGAUACCCUGGUAGUCCACGCCGUAAACGGUGGGCGCUAGGUGUGAGGUCCCUUCCACGGGGUUCCGUGCCGUAGCUAACGCAUUAAGCGCCCCGCCUGGGGAGUACGGCCGCAAGGCUAAAACUCAAAGACGGCCGGCCGCCAGGGCG
rnacentral:rRNA from 1 species